AAAUCCAAUUUUUAUUACAUUCUUCUGUUUCUGUGUUAUUCUUUGAUACAACAAUAUAAAUAAGAGCGCAUCUGAAUCAAAUACAAUUUUGUACAAAAGUAGUGAAUUCAAGAAUAAGAGCUUCAUUUGCCCAUACAAAGGCUCUUAUCAACCCUCCUCGAAAUACCUUCCAUUUCACCCACUUUACCAUGUUGCCCUUGGAAGGAAGCAAUAGCAAUCUUGACCCAUAAAUCAUAAGCAAUUCAUCUUGUAGCAAUAUGAAGGCUCUCCAUUUGAUAAAUGUCAUAACCUAAGAAACAGUGAGAAAUAAAACAUCCAUAAAAAGUAAAAAAACUGUGAGAAAUAGAACAUCCAAUAUUUUAUCUUCACCAAAACCACAAAUAGCCCUAAAAUCAACACAAAACGAAACCGUAAAUCACUAUUAACAAUGAGAAAAAUAACUGGUUUAUUUUCUAAUGAACAAAAAGCCCUAAAAUCAGCAAAACCGUAAAUCACCAUUACCAUUGUAUUACUACUUAAUAGAGCAACAUCAAUGGAUCCCAUCCCAGUAUUAAAAAAAAAAAACUCCGUAUUACUACUUUACAAAGCAACAUCAAUGGAUGCCAUUCGAGUAUCGAAAAAAAACCUCCAAAUUAAUACUUAAAAGAGCAACAUCAGUUCUUACAGUAAGAAAAAACCUUGUUUGUAUCAUUAACAAACCAAACUGCUGGAUGAUUGAAAAAUAACUGGUUUCUUUUCUAAUGAAAAAAAAGCCCUAAAAUCAGUACAAAAUGAAACCGUAAAUCACCAUUACCUUCGUUGUGAGGGUGCUCCGAGAGAGAGAGAGACGGCAGGGUUGCUGCUGUGUCAGGGUGCUCUGAGAGAGAGAGAGAGACGGCAGGGUUGCUGCUGUGUCAGGGUGCUCUGAGAGAGAGACCGAAGGGUUGCUGCUGCUUGAAAAAACCCAACUGUGUGCACGAACGGGCACACAAAAUCAUUUGCUUUGAGAGAGAGACGGCAGGGUCAGGAACUGCGUGAGGGUGCUCUGAGAGAGAGACAGACAGACGGGUUGCUGUUGCGUGAGGGUGCUCUAAGAGAGAAACGGUAGGGUCAGGAACUGCGUGAGGGUGUUCUGAGAGAGAGAGAGGGCAGGGUUGCUGUCGCGUUUGGUUUGUGCUCUGAGAGAGAGACGGCAGGGUGCUCUGAGAGAAAGAACAAGUGUAGGGAGGGUGACAUGAGAGAGAGAGAGAACGAGUGCAUGGAGGGUGAGAUGAGAGAGAGAGAACAAGC
rnacentral:lncRNA from 1 species